GAGAGAGUCUGUGGUCCCAUUGAGGGCUGACUGCACCCGUGUUUUAUUACUACUCGUGUUACGCCUUCUGUGACAAGCUUUGAGGCAGCGCUGGCCAUGCGAUGACGACCAACAAGCACCACUGGAGAAAACAACAACACUGAUGAGUCAGACGUACCCACGCACGGAAAAAUGGGAAGAUUUUCCAUGCUCAGGGCCGGCACGGUCCGCUUCCUCACCACACCCCCGACAGACAACGAGGACCCGCACUGUCCAUCAACUGCAGAUUCGUCAAAGUACAACCGACCUGCCUGGACCUGGAACAAAUGGUGACCUGCAUCACCGUCUACAACCUGACAGAUGGUUCUGAUGGUCACAGUGUGGAUUACAGAAGAGGCGGACCUAUAAAGAAUUAUGCAUCACCAUACAGAUCUGCAAUACUUUGUCAAAUAUGUUUAAAAACAGCUAAAAGUCAUCCUCAAAGUCCUUUUGAUUGUACACUAGCGAUUAAAAAGAGGAAUACCUGACUAACCUUAAGCCGAUAACGGAUAUAAUAUGAAAUAUGUCACGCUUCAGGCUUUACACACUGAGAAUUUGAAGGUAUUGGAAUAUGCCAUCUCAAUGCUUAGUCAAAAAAAAGAAGAAUGGAAUUGUACCAAAAUUAAAUGUGUUCUUUCUGGGCCCACGCACCGCCGCUCCACAAACUUUAAUCGAAAUUGGUUGAGUCAAUUUAUGCAAACAAACGGAUCUACCAGGGGGAAGAAAAACUAUCUUUGGCAGAGGUAAAGAAGUGUCAAACUUACAUUUUAUAGAGAAAAUAAGCAUUGGCAUAAGUUGGUGUGGAAAAUACUGCACAAAUUCAAUCCUCGUCAUUUAGAGUCUCAUCAAAUUUUGAGCUGGAAAAUCAUUAUGGAUAUCAAGUGGCCGGCUGGCCUUCAAAAAAUGCGCAUAAAGGCAUCCAAAACAGCUUGAAAAUGGAAUAAAUAUUAAAGAAACGAGGUCCGAGUGUGAGCAUUUUAAGUUGCUGCAUUCUUUGCUCCAAUGAGCCAAGUCAAAUAAUAUUCACAAGUAAUUUUUAUCUCCUCACUUGGAUUUCUCUAAAUACUCGUCAGGUUCAUCACCUAACUGCUGGACUAACAUGCAAAUAACAGAGCCAAAAGAGGUCUUCAAUUUGGCACAUGAGGAGGACGGGUUCGGCUGACUAGCUGUACCUCCGAACCAUGUUCUUAGUCAGCCUUGCCGUUGUACCACUUUUUAUUGCUUUCUCAGGUCAAAAGGUUACAAGUUCACUAAGCACAAAUGCUGAAACAGAUGGCAACACCAACACUAACAGAUACUAAAGUAAAGAUUUUCUUCAA